rnacentral:lncRNA from 1 species
GGGUAUCAAAAAUCCAACAUAAUUGAAGAAGUUGAGGAACUUAGGAGUGAACUUCAAACAUGUAGUAAAAAGAAGUAUUUAAAUUGUAUGUCACCAACUUCUACUUCACUGAAGAAUAUGCAAGCUUUGCUAACUAUUGGCGUCGCUUCGCAUAUAUGGAAGUGCUAUAUAGGAUUGAAGAGCUUUGCCUGAGUUCAAAACUUCUGGUCUUGGGUCUAAAUUUUUAGAGGAAGAGCCUCAAACCAUUGCUAAC